GUGCGUGCUCCGCUUCGCCCUCACGCACCUCACCGCGGCCACCUCCUCCCACCCACCGCCGCCGGCGGCGCCAUGGAGGUCGGCGGCGAGGAAUUCGCGGUCGGCGUGGUGAUCUCCGCAAAGACCACCCUCGGGGAGGAGUUCGAGGGCUAGAUCUCUCGUUCGACCGCCCGAGCAACCUCCUCGUCAUCCAUAUCCUUCCCAAAUCCAACCUUUGCUCCCCGCCCCCAUCUCUAUGCCGUUUACUUCUGCCUCCUGCUCUAUUUAUGUGUACUGCCUGGUUCCUUUGUUUCCAUGACAGCGUAGAUCACAAGAGGACGUGGGCAGGGCGGAGAGGGGUAAGCGGCGGAACGUGAGGGUGCUCAAGGCCAACUACAUCCAGGAGUUCUCCGUCGUCGGCAAGUACGACGACCCGCUCGACCCGGCUGGUUGUGUGCUCGACCUCGCCGCCAUCCACGCCAGGGAGGAGGCCGCCCUCAGAUUCAAUCAAUGGAUUUGCUCCCUCCAGCUGUAGAUGCUCUAAUGUGUUGUGCUUAGUUGAGUCAUAGUACUGGUCAAUGUGGAGCACCAGAUUUGUAAGAAUCAUGCACACUGAUCAGAUACUCAGAUCUCAACAGAAAAUCUCUCUAGAUUUAUGUAUACCUAUGGAUACAUACUAAUUCCUCGAGAAACAAAUGUGUAUGCUGCUAAA